rnacentral:lncRNA from 1 species
GUGAUCAAGUGCAUUCAUAACCGAGAAUUGCGGCGAUCCGGAUCAAAUUACAUCCUGCAGGAGAGUACCUUAAUCACCAGCUAUGUACGACUGUCCAAGUCGUACGUAACGACCUUUCGAUUAGCAAACCCAAGGAUUGGGAAUAAGACUACCCGGACCCAGGGACGCACCCCCACAUGGGACCCCACGUCUGGCCUGAUCUCCGUGUGAGUUUCAGGCUACGCCCCUGCCAAUCUCCAGCACGUCAAGCACGGGUACGAAGUAUUCCCGAUCAGAGAGUUUACUAACCUACCGGGCUUUACUGAUCCCAUACCCAGUAAGUAAUCAAGUGUCAUUCACUUGAUCAAAGGUUAAGACGACGAUCGGGCCUUAACUAGAUUAACCUAGCAGACAGAACUAUCAUCUCUAGUUUCUGCCUGGCUUUCGACUCCUAAGCUACCUUUCCAUAUUUACCAUGUAUGACUCAAUAUUUUACCUUAAGGGUUGGUAACAAGUUACUUUAAGCAACAAAGCAUUCUAAUCUUGGGUGACUUACUAACUGUUUGAACAAGUGGCAAAGAUGUCCUUAAAACAAGGUAUGAUUAUGCACAAGAAUGGGUUUCAUUCAACUCCUAGACUUAGUGCAUUCAUAUAGAAAAUAACCGAUAAUUGGACACAUGAAAUAAUAAUUCCAAAAUAAAUAGGUAUAAUGCACCAGGGCUUUCCUUGUUCUAUAAAAAUGUUAGCACUGCUUGACGGAUUGGCUUCGCAGGGGAUCAACUCAACAAUUUCUUCAAACUCCGGAGAUCCUUCUGAUAAUUCCAAGAAAUCCUCUUCUGGUGCUUCGGUGUCU